GCUCGUUGUUUUACAUUUGGAGGCAGCAGGCACAGAGUCCUGCAUGACCCUAGCAUUCUACCUCGAUCAGAUUUGUCAAGGGAGCAAUACAUGAAGAAAGAAGAGCAGACAACCGUGAAUCAUUUUCAUGAGAAGCUUCUAAAAUUAAAGGACUUAAUGAAAACAAAGGCUGGGCAGAGAAGGGCUCAAAGGAGGCAUAAAUUCAUGGAACAAUUUUUGGAAGAGUUCUAUGAAGAGUGGGAUGGAAGAGCAUGAAUAAGAAAGCAAAAAAUUUUCGAAAUGCUCACUGGACCAGUAGGGUGGCCAAGAGACUGUUGGAUGUUGUUGGAUCACUGAAAUUUGUUCAACUAAAGUCAGUGUAGGAAGGAAAACUUCUGGUGAAAAGACUGUAAAGUUUUUACUGCUAUUGGAAUAAAAGGGAGGUCUAGUCUUGUUGCUGUUGAAUCGCUGAUAAGGCAUAAUUUCUAAAUAAUCUAUGAGGUUAAUCAAGUGCUGGACUGGACUUGUAUCUCUUUGUUUCUUUUGGUGGAUCCACUGUUCCCAUUGGUCUAUGGCUUCUCUUAGAUACUGGCAUAAAUAACAGAAACUUUUGAUGA